rnacentral:rRNA from 1 species
ACGGCUCAGUAACACGUAGUCAACAUGCCCAGGGGACGUGGAUAACCUCGGGAAACUGAGGAUAAACCGCGAUAGGCCAUAAUGUCUGGAAUGAUUUAUGGCUCAAAUCUACAUGGCCCCUGGAUUGGACUGCGGCCGAUCAGGCUGUUGGUGAGGUAAUGGCCCACCAAACCUAAAACCGGUACGGGCUCUGAGAGGAGAAGCCCGGAGAUGGGCACUGAGACAAGGGCCCAGGCCCUAUGGGGCGCAGCAGGCGCGAAAACUCUGCAAUAAGCGAAAGCUUGACAGGGCUAUUCUGAGUGAUUUCCGCUAAGGAAGUCUUUUGGCAUCUCUAAAAAUGGUGCAGAAUAAGGGGUGGGCAAGCCUGGUGUCAGCCGCCGCGGUAAUACCAGCACCCCGAGUGGUCGGGACGAUUAUUGGGCCUAAAGCAUCCGUAGCCGGUUCUACAAGUCUCCCGUUAAAUCCAUCUGCUUAACAGAUGGGCUGCGGAGGAUACUGUAGAGCUAGGAGGCGGGAGAGGCAAGCGGUACUUAGUGGGUAGGGGUAAAAUCCGUUGAUCCACUGAAGACCACCAGUGGCGAAGGCGGCUUGCCAGAACGCGCUCGACGGUGAGGGAUGAAAGCUGGGGGAGCAAACCGGAUUAGAUACCCGGGUAGUCCCAGCUGUAAACGAUGCAGACUCGGUGAUGAAAAGGCUUCGUGCCUUUUCAGUGCCGCAGGGAAGCCGUUAAGUCUGCCGCCUGGGGAGUACGGUCGCAAGACUGAAACUUAAAGGAAUUGGCGGGGGAG